rnacentral:rRNA from 1 species
UGCCAGCAGCCGCGGUAAUACGGAGGGGGUUAGCGUUGUUCGGAAUUACUGGGCGUAAAGCGCACGUAGGCGGAUUAGUAAGUUAGGGGUGAAAUCCCGGGGCUCAACCCCGGAACUGCCUCUAAUACUGCUAGUCUUGAGUUCGAGAGAGGUGAGUGGAAUUCCGAGUGUAGAGGUGAAAUUCGUAGAUAUUCGGAGGAACACCAGUGGCGAAGGCGACUUGCUGGACUGUAACUGACGCUGAGACGCGAAAGCGUGGGGAGCAAACAGGAUUAGAUA